GACGAACGCUGGCGGCGUGCUUAACGCAUGCAAGUCGAACGGUAAGGCCCUUCGGGGUACACGAGUGGCGAACGGGUGAGUAACACGUGGGUGAUCUGCCCUGCACUUCGGGAUAAGCCUGGGAAACUGGGUCUAAUACCGGAUAGGACCACUGCCUGCAUGGGUGGUGGUGGAAAGCUUUUGCGGUGUGGGAUGGGCCCGCGGCCUAUCAGCUUGUUGGUGGGGUGAUGGCAUACCAAGGCGACGACGGGUAGCCGGCCUGAGAGGGUGGCCGGCCACACUGGGACUGAGAUACGGCCCAGACGCCGACGGGAGGCAGCAGUGGGGAAUAUUGCACAAUGGGCGCAAGCCUGAUGCAGCGACGCCGCGUGAGGGAUGACGGCCUUCGGGUUGUAAACCUCUUUCAGCACCGACGAAGCGCAAGUGACGGUAGGUGCAGAAGAAGGACCGGCCAACUACGUGCCAGCCGCCGCAGUAA
rnacentral:rRNA from 1 species